GGGUUGUGAGGUUAAGCGACUAAGCGUACACGGUGGAUGCCCUGGCAGUCAGAGGCGAUGAAGGACGUGCUAAUCUGCGAAAAGCGUCGGUAAGGUGAUAUGAACCGUUAUAACCGGCGAUGUCCGAAUGGGGAAACCCAGUGUGAUUCGUCACACUAUCGUUAACUGAAUACAUAGGUUAACGAGGCGAACCGGGGGAACUGAAACAUCUAAGUACCCCGAGGAAAAGAAAUCAACCGAGAUUCCCCCAGUAGCGGCGAGCGAACGGGGAGCAGCCCAGAGUCUGAAUCAGCUUGUGUGUUAGUGGAACGGUCUGGAAAGUCCGACGGUACAGGGUGAUAGUCCCGUACACCAAAAUGCACAGGUUGUGAACUCGAAGAGUAGGGCGGGACACGUGGUAUCCUGUCUGAAUAUGGGGGGACCAUCCUCCAAGGCUAAAUACUCCUGACUGACCGAUAGUGAACCAGUACCGUGAGGGAAAGGCGAAAAGAACCCCGGCGAGGGGAGUGAAAAAGAACCUGAAACCGUGUACGUACAAGCAGUGGGAGCACCUUCGGGUGUGACUGCGUACCUUUUGUAUAAUGGGUCAGCGACUUAUAUUCUGUAGCAAGGUUAACCGUAUAGGGGAGCCGCAGGGAAACCGAGUCUUAACUGGGCGUUAAGUUGCAGGGUAUAGACCCGAAACCCGGUGAUCUAGCCAUGGGCAGGUUGAAGGUUGGGUAACACUAACUGGAGGACCGAACCGACUAAUGUUGAAAAAUUAGCGGAUGACUUGUGGCUGGGGGUGAAAGGCCAAUCAAACCGGGAGAUAGCUGGUUCUCCCCGAAAGCUAUUUAGGUAGCGCCUCGUGAACUCAUCUUCGGGGGUAGAGCACUGUUUCGGCUAGGGGGUCAUCCCGACUUACCAACCCGAUGCAAACUACGAAUACCGAAGAAUGUUAUCACGGGAGACACACGGCGGGUGCUAACGUCCGUCGUGAAGAGGGAAACAACCCAGACCGCCAGCUAAGGUCCCAAAGUCAUGGUUAAGUGGGAAACGAUGUGGGAAGGCACAGACAGCCAGGAUGUUGGCUUAGAAGCAGCCAUCAUUUAAAGAAAGCGUAAUAGCUCACUGGUCGAGUCGGCCUGCGCGGAAGAUGUAACGGGGCUAAACCAUGCACCGAAGCUGCGGCAGCGACACUAUGUGUUGUUGGGUAGGGGAGCGUUCUGUAAGCCUGCGAAGGUGUGCUGUGAGGCAUGCUGGAGGUAUCAGAAGUGCGAAUGCUGACAUAAGUAACGAUAAAGCGGGUGAAAAGCCCGCUCGCCGGAAGACCAAGGGUUCCUGUCCAACGUUAAUCGGGGCAGGGUGAGUCGACCCCUAAGGCGAGGCCGAAAGGCGUAGUCGAUGGGAAACAGGUUAAUAUUCCUGUACUUGGUGUUACUGCGAAGGGGGGACGGAGAAGGCUAUGUUAGCCGGGCGACGGUUGUCCCGGUUUAAGCAUGUAGGCUGGUUGUCCAGGCAAAUCCGGAUAAUCAAGGCUGAGGUGUGAUGACGAGGCACUACGGUGCUGAAGUAACAAAUGCCCUGCUUCCAGGAAAAGCCUCUAAGCAUCAGGUAACAUCAAAUCGUACCCCAAACCGACACAGGUGGUCAGGUAGAGAAUACCAAGGCGCUUGAGAGAACUCGGGUGAAGGAACUAGGCAAAAUGGUGCCGUAACUUCGGGAGAAGGCACGCUGGUGUGUAGGUGAAGUCCCUGCGGAUGGAGCUGAGACCAGUCGAAGAUACCAGCUGGCUGCAACUGUUUAUUAAAAACACAGCACUGUGCAAACACGAAAGUGGACGUAUACGGUGUGACGCCUGCCCGGUGCCGGAAGGUUAAUUGAUGGGGUUAUCCGUAAGGAGAAGCUCUUGAUCGAAGCCCCGGUAAACGGCGGCCGUAACUAUAACGGUCCUAAGGUAGCGAAAUUCCUUGUCGGGUAAGUUCCGACCUGCACGAAUGGCGUAAUGAUGGCCAGGCUGUCUCCACCCGAGACUCAGUGAAAUUGAACUCGCUGUGAAGAUGCAGUGUACCCGCGGCAAGACGGAAAGACCCCGUGAACCUUUACUAUAGCUUGACACUGAACAUUGAGCCUUGAUGUGUAGGAUAGGUGGGAGGCUUUGAAGCGUGGACGCCAGUCUGCGUGGAGCCAACCUUGAAAUACCACCCUUUAAUGUUUGAUGUUCUAACGUUGGCCCCUGACCGGGGUUGCGGACAGUGUCUGGUGGGUAGUUUGACUGGGGCGGUCUCCUCCCAAAGCGUAACGGAGGAGCACGAAGGUUAGCUAAUCCUGGUCGGACAUCAGGAGGUUAGUGCAAUGGCAUAAGCUAGCUUGACUGCGAGCGUGACGGCGCGAGCAGGUGCGAAAGCAGGUCAUAGUGAUCCGGUGGUUCUGAAUGGAAGGGCCAUCGCUCAACGGAUAAAAGGUACUCCGGGGAUAACAGGCUGAUACCGCCCAAGAGUUCAUAUCGACGGCGGUGUUUGGCACCUCGAUGUCGGCUCAUCACAUCCUGGGGCUGAAGUAGGUCCCAAGGGUAUGGCUGUUCGCCAUUUAAAGUGGUACGCGAGCUGGGUUUAGAACGUCGUGAGACAGUUCGGUCCCUAUCUGCCGUGGGCGCUGGAGAAUUGAGGGGGGCUGCUCCUAGUACGAGAGGACCGGAGUGGACGCAUCACUGGUGUUCGGGUUGUCAUGCCAAUGGCACUGCCCGGUAGCUAAAUGCGGAAGAGAUAAGUGCUGAAAGCAUCUAAGCACGAAACUUGCCCCGAGAUGAGUUCUCCCUGAGACUUUAAGUCUCCUGAAGGAACGUU
rnacentral:rRNA from 1 species